rnacentral:piRNA from 1 species
UCAGCUUCCAAAUGCUGACACCAUUG